rnacentral:rRNA from 1 species
GGGUUGUGAGGUUAAGCGACUAAGCGUACACGGUGGAUGCCCUGGCAGUCAGAGGCGAUGAAGGACGUGCUAAUCUGCGAUAAGCGCCGGUAAGGUGAUAUGAACCGUUAUAACCGGCGAUUUCCGAAUGGGGAAACCCAGUGUGAUUCGUCACACUAUCAUUAACUGAAUCCAUAGGUUAAUGAGGCGAACCGGGGGAACUGAAACAUCUAAGUACCCCGAGGAAAAGAAAUCAACCGAGAUUCCCCCAGUAGCGGCGAGCGAACGGGGAGGAGCCCAGAGCCUGAAUCAGCAUGUGUGUUAGUGGAAGCGUCUGGAAAGGCGCGCGAUACAGGGUGACAGCCCCGUACACAAAAGCGCAUGUGCUGUGAGCUCGAUGAGUAGGGCGGGACACGUGGUAUCCUGUCUGAAUAUGGGGGGACCAUCCUCCAAGGCUAAAUACUCCUGACUGACCGAUAGUGAAC